AAAUCUCAACCUUCUCGGUUUCUUCUGGACACCGAAGGAGGCUUGGACCUUGGAGGCCUUUGCUGGCGUCUCUCUCUUUUGAGAGCCAGCUCCUCUUAAAUGAAUUAGCGGGGUCCUCUUUGCUGGUCCUCGACAUGUGAUAAGAUGUUUCCAUGUCUUGGUUUCUGGCUCUGUUGCUUUUGGGACCCGCUUCUAACCGUCUCGACGAGACAACGUUCGAGCGCGUCUCCCUUAUCGGGAGACCCUCUCGACCUCACGAAC
rnacentral:misc_RNA from 1 species